rnacentral:pre_miRNA from 1 species
UAACUACUCCCUCCGUUCGGAAUUACUUGUCUCGAAAAUGGAUGUAUCUAGAACUAAAAUACAUUUAGAUACAUCCAUUUCUUCGACAAGUAAUUCCGAACGGAGGGAGUAAGAA